UUUGUUUGUUGAAUUUAUUAAAUAUUUUACUUUUUUUACUCUUUAAGUAGGUUUUAUAUAAUUAAUUAAUAUGUUCACUAGCCAGUGUCACUAGGUACCUGCCAUUGUGUAGUAUACAAAUUACAAAUUUAAACAGUUCACCUUUGAUGUGAUAUUCGUAAAAUAUAUCUACAGUAUUAAAACCAUUUCAAAAACCAAGUGAAACCUAAUAUGCUAUUAUAUGCCAUACAUAUGCCAUUCAAACCUUCCUAACUCAAAUGUCUCGAAUCAUAUACAUCACAACAACAAAUAUUUAUCUUACAAAGUUGCAGUCAAGUAUGGAUUGACCACCCGGGGUUUUGUAAUUGUUUACUGUUACACAUAGGCGUGCGCAGCCCGUUCUGGCAAAAUGGGCCAAUGAUACUUGAAACAAAUUAUUUUAGGUGUUAUAAAAUUACUUUCAUUUACUUACCAGUCAUCACCCACUGUUUACAUUUUAAGGUAUAAUUAAUAUAUUUAUUCAUAAGUAAGGCUAGGAAUAUAAGCAUUUGCAUCUUUUUUUCUUUAAUUCCAAAUUGAUUGGUUGUGAUUGCGAUUGUGAAACCAUUUUUUGUUUGCAUAUUUUAUAGAUUUAAGAGAAUCUUGUUA